rnacentral:rRNA from 1 species
GACGGGGGAUGCAAGCGUUAUCCGGAAUCACUGGGCGUAAAGCGUCUGUAGGUGGUGAUGCAAGUCACUGGUGCAAAACUCUGGCUCAACCGGAGGAAAGCCAGUGAAACUGCAUGACUAGAGUGUGGGAGAGGUAGAAGGAAUUCCCUGAGUAGCGGUGAAAUGCGUAGAUACAGGGAAGAACACCGGAGGCGAAAGCGCUCUGCUGGAACACAAUUGACACUGAGAGACGAAAGCUAGGGGAGCGCAUGGG